CACAAUGGUAUCCUAAUAAUACUGAUCGUCACACUCCAUCUACGUCAGUCUCAAUCCUCAGAGCAGGGUGCUGGGGAGAUGGCUUGGUGGUUGAAACUCUUGCUUGUAAGGAUCCUCAGAAUCCACAGGAAUGCCAGAUUAAGUUACCUUUGCAUCAACCUCAGGGCACCAAAUGCACCUGCACGUAUGUACUCACACUGACACACAUAAACGUACAACACACACACACACACACACAUACACACACACACACACACACACACGUGUAUGCGUGAACAUGUAAAAGUGAGAAAAAAAUUCCUCAGAGCAACAAUGAACAGGGUUAUUUCUACAAUGAUGGUAUUGCUCUUUCUUGAUUAGAAAAUAAAAAUAUCCAGCUUGAGGUCGUAGGGCUUUGGUUUGAGGCUGCAUCAUUCUGACCUUUGAGCCCGUGUAUUUCAACACACCCUAGAAAAGCAAAUGGCCUGUGAAUUAGGUGUGUCUGACCAUGAGGAAGAAAUAAAUGACUCCUUAUGCAAUAUCCGUGACAUAGCUGCUUGUGAGAAGUAUGGGGCUAUGGUUGAGACACGGAGCCUUGGCCUUCAGGCCUCUCAGUCUUGAGGAAUGACUGCAAACACAACCUACAUCUCGAGUCAUUUACUAGAGGAGUGUCAAUCACUAAUAACUACGCCCCUAGGAGAAAGCUCAGAAGGAUUCCAGAACAAUCCUCGCGCACAAAUACCACACAGCUUGCUGAGGGAAGCAAGGCUUGUUCUCCCUGCUAUUCUCGCCAACUGAGCCCUUUUUCUAAGCCUCAUCUCAUGCUACCCCCUAACCCAAGCCAUGAAGGACUGGGUUAUAAACGGGAAUUUCUCUACAAAUAGGUCAGGGGCCAAUGAUGUCAAAAUCACAUCGUGGGGACAGGUGUUGUCUAGACAGAUCGACCCCUGUUAUGGGAUGCUUUUCCUGAGGAGAUGUGACAUAUAUGUCUGUUCACCUCAGACAUGAAACUGAUGACAUACUAAAGUGAUGAUACUACCUGUGGUGCUCUGUAUACACCUAGCGCAUUGGAAGGUGUGGCCUCAUUGGAACAGAUGUGGCCUUGUUAGAGGAAAUGCAUCACUGUGCGGUGGACUUUGAGGUCCUAUGUUCAAGCUCCACCCAAUGUGGAAGAGAUCUCCUCCUGGCUGCCUGCAGAAGACAGUUUCCUCCUGGCUGCCUUUGGAUCAAGAUGUAAACUUGUCUGCUCCUUCUCCAGCACCAUGUCAUCCUGGAUUCUGCCAUGUUUCUUGCCAUGAUGAUAAUGGACUGAACCUCUGAAACUGUAAGCCCACCCCAAUUAAAUGUUGUUCUUCAUAAAAAGCUGCCUUGAUCAUGGUGUCUGCCAGGUCUGCCGCAGACAGACACACCUCGGAGUGCUACCUUCAAGCAAUUCACACCAUUAAUCGUCUGCACGAGCUUGGAAAUGAGAUAGAGGUGCUGGGAAGCCAGUGGGUUAAUUGGCUUAGCCCCAUGGAAAACAAGCCAAUUUCAAAGCCCUCUUUGGAGGUAGGCUUUUCUCCUUGCUUUUGAGGAUGACCAUGGGAGAUAUAUAGAAGAACUUGGAUUGCAAAGCAGGCACCUAAUGGAUUGAUUAGAAACAAUUUCACUCUAUGUUGGCUACUUUUCU
rnacentral:lncRNA from 1 species